rnacentral:lncRNA from 1 species
UACUUUUAUUUUAUUUUUUUAUUUUUUUUUUAAAUUUCCCUAAUACAUAAUUUUUUUUUCUACUGCAUAGCAAUGGUGACCCAGUAACACAUACAUGUAUACAUUCUUUUUUCUCACAUCAUCAUGCUCCCUCAUAAGUGACUAGACAUAGUUCCCAGUGAUACACAGCAGGAUCUCAUUGCUAAUCCAUUCCAAAGGCAAUAGUCUGCAUCUAUUAACCCCAAGCUCCCAAUCCAUCCCACUCCCUCCCCCUUGGCAACCACAAGUCUAUUCUCCAAGUCCAUGAUUUUCUUUCUUGCGGAAAAGUUCAUUUGUGCCAUAAAUUAGAUUCCAGAUAUAAAUGAUAUUAUAGAUAUUUGUCUUUCUCUUUCUGACUUACUUCACUCAGUAUGAGAGUCUCUAGUUCCAUCCAUGUGGCUACAAAUGGCAUUAUUUUGUUCUUUUUUAUGGCUGAGUAGUAUUCCAUUGUGUAUAUAUAUCACAUCUUCCUAAUCCAAUCAUCUGUCGAUGGACAUUCAGGUUGUUUCCAUGUCUUGGCUGUACAUUUGAAGAAAUUAUGGGAUUUAUUAACUUAACUUAUAUUUAUUAAGAAUUUCUUAUGUGCCAGGUAGUGGUGUCAAGUUGAGUGUUAGAAAUAAAUUAUGCUCCAGGAUCACAUGUAUGGAAUAUUUUAAAAAGACAUGGAACAUUCAAGGAAAACUUCUACCAAAACAUUACACAUAAUGAAAGACAUAUUCACAUAAUGCAGUGUGGGGACGUCAUUCCGGCUUACACAUCAUUUAACUCAAAUUUUAUGCUAAUUAGAACAGCCUGUUUGUGACCUAUCAAACCUACAUUGUGCAUCUGUUUUAAUUAUUAAAGAAAAGGGUGCACUGACCAGAAGUAAAGAAUGUCCAUGUUAAAAAUGAAGCUUAAAUACCCCUCUUCCUGGGACACCCAAGAUGGUCCUCCUUUGAUAAUAAGCCUCCCCUUCCAGGUGCCAAGGGAAUGCUGACUUGCUCAGUACUUGCAGACCUGUCUUGGGGGGAAACCUUGGAGGAAACUAUCCUAACUUCUUUGAUGUAGUUUUUUUCUGACAAGACAUAGAAGUAUCUGAAAACCAUGCUUCUUGGGAGCAGUUCCAAGAGUUAUCUGAGAAGCUAGCUGUCUUCUGGGCUAUAGUCUUCCGUUUGGUGCAAAUAAAAUUAUUUUCUAUUCCUAGUAUAGAUUGUUUAUUUAUAAUUUUUGUCAACACAUAUAAAAGUAGUUCUACAUGAAAACUAGCAAUUAGUCUAGCAAAGAGGAGUGCCAGGCAAAGAAAAACAAACAAACAAACAAACAAAAAAACAAAGUAUGAAAGUAUUUGAGGACAAGAAAAAAAAUAAAAUAACUGGAUAAGAGUUAAGUGCAUUUUAGGAAUAAGAACAUUUAGAGAUGAAGCUUGACAUGAAAAAAUAAAUAAAUAAAAGAGGAGGAGAGGAUCCUGCUUUUGGGAAAGACCAAGUAAGCUACUUCCUACAGACAAAAAUAAAUAAAUAAAUAACCAAAUUAUGAAACAAACAACAACAAAAACACCUGAAAAAAAUACAACAAAAAGAAAAACAAUGAAAACUAUGAGUUACUGAUGACUGAUCAAAACAAGAAAAUACACUGGUUGAGUUUUCUUUAAUCAAAAUUUCCAGCCUAAGGGCAGAGCUCAUUCUGCACCAUUGUAGACAGCUAGAACUGAUAGAAAACCACAGCUGUUCUGGCCAGAAGAAUCAGAGAACAGAGCAACCACAGGGCUGGCCACUGGAAAUGGAGAGGAUAUUGUCAGAAAGAGAAAGAGCAGAUGCACCUGGGCAUAAAUUCUGCCAUUAAAGAAACACAAUUUGCAUUUUAAGCCCAACUAGAUUAAUUGCCAGCAAAAGCAAAACAACAAAAAAACCAACAACACUCUUGGAGACUAUAACAGAUCUACAGCAUAACAUUCACAAUAUCCAGGACAGAAUAAAACAUUAGUUUUAUGUACAAGGCCAAAGACAUAGGGCCCAUAUUCCGUAGAAAGGGAAACCCAUGAUUGAGACAUGACUCUGAUGUGAUAAUGAAUGGAAAAGAAUGACAAAGCAGCUUUCCUAACGGAGCUCAACGGGAUCAGGAGAAUAGGGCUGUAGUGAAUGCAAAGAGGGAAAUGCCUCAGCAGAGAAACAUCUAGUAUCUCUCAAACAGCAACGAGGUCAACAUUCCCUGGACAGCUGUCUCUUCAAGAACGUCACUGCAUGUUCCAUUUUCAUUUCACUGCAGCAUUAGCACUGUCUCUUUACUGCUCUUCCAUCUUUCUUGGCCAAUUCCCUUUUGAUUAUCCAUUUCUAUAAAAUCUCACAUAGAUUUACCACUGGGAGACAAAGAAACACAGCGGCAAGCUCUGCUGAGGGUGUGUGGGCACAGUUGCUCCUUGAACAACCACCAACAGAUGUGAAAGAGGCGAUGACCCUGGUCACUGGCCAUGACGCAUGUCUAUUGUCUACGUAAUGACUCAUGGACUAAAGAACUAGCAGCAAAAUCUGUCCUUCAUGUAAGUAUUUAUAGUUAAUAUGCAGUGGUCACUGCAGUCUGAACAGUAUUGUUGGGGACUUGGAAUUAUUUAAAUGAACUAUGGUAACUGAAACCUGUGUUCCAUAGUCUGUGAACAUCAACACUCCACAAGAACUAUGCAAAGCAAGGACUGCUUGUAUAUGUUAAAUUGGCGGAAAGAAGAUGUAAACACUCUAGCAAACUGCCCUCGGGUUGGAGAAAAGAUGAAGUCAUUAACUGAGAAGAAAAUAAGCACUUAAAAUAAAACCCUGGCUAAUAUCAAUAUUAAGGAUCAUAUAAAGAGAUAAGUCUAAAAGUGACUGGAAGUAAAAGGCGAGGGAAAGUAGGAGUCCAUAUCAGAAAAAAUAGAAAGAAAAACAAGAGGAGGGUUUAAAAGGGACACAUAGAAUGUGCAAAUAAAGGUGAAAGGAUGAAUAUGAGAAGGACACAGCGACUGUCUGUAAACAUUUUUUUUUGAAGCGGUGAAGUCUUUGAUGCCUUUUAAGAUCACUUUCAGAAACUGAAAUGAAUUUUGAGAAUCAAGUGGGAAGUAAUCAUGGGGUAGAGCCAUGUAGUUCUUGGAUUCAAGAUGAUGAGAGGGGUUUGUUUAUUUUAGCACAGUCUACCCCAUCCUAAAUAAGAUAAGCCUUGGAAAAGUUAGAGAAAGAAAAAGAUAACUACAAGCCUUAUGAUUUUGAGGCAGCAUUCAGAGCCCAGGCAGAGUUGUUAAGGGUUUACAGCAGAACAGUAGGGAAGCAAGAGAUGCUGGAGCAGUUUUUAUGUCUUCCUUUGAGCUUAUGGAAAGAGUUAUAGCCUCAUUGUUUCCAGGUUUCCUGUGAAGUGAAAGUGACCGGAAGGAAGAGGAUCUGAUAUUUUUUUGGAAAGAACAUCUGAAAGAUGCUCUGGAGAAUGAGACAAGAGCUGAUCAGGGAAACGUAGGAGGAUUGCUGCACAGCUGAGAGACUCAGUAAAAUUUCUGUUCCAAUCUCAGUUUAGGUUAUUAAUUUUUUUAACCAUCCUAAACAACCCCUGCACACAGAGAGAGAAGAUAAACUCUUGCAUGGGUCCAUGUUAAGUCACAGCACAUAUGCUCAAAGAAAGGUAAGGUCAUCUGGGGGCUAUUUUUCUCAUCAAACUCUUAAAAAUGAACAUUUCAGGAUUUUGUAUUUUUAUACAUACCGAUCUAAUUACCAAGUGCUGACUAUUAGGAAAUGGGCUGUUCUCCAAAUGCACGAUGGGAACUCAAGCCAUCAUUCCAUCUACUGCCUCUGUUGAUUCUAUUGCCUGUUUGAUUAUAUAUAACUUAGAGAACAAGAAAAAAAAAUGAAGAAAAAAAGAAGAGAGAGACUUAUUUCAAGAAUUCCUAUUAUCCUUAGAGUAACUUCCAGUGCUGACAGAAUGAAAUCACAAAAAGAGAUGUUAUUUCAAAGCUGAAAUUCAAUGUAAAGACACCAGUCAAUAAGCAUAAUCCUUAUGUGAAAAAAAGAACAGAAACAACACUAGGAUAGCAAUGAGAACUGAGCUCACGCUGAGGUCUAAAUUCUAAGAGGUUAGGGCUGUUGUAGGGGCUCACUCAGAUUCUGGGGCAAAGCCUGGCUGUUACCUAAUUAUGAUAAUACUAUUUUACUAGCAGUAAAAUAUGGGACAAGUUAUUUGAUCUAAAAGGUUAGUAAUAGUACCUAAAUUAAACUAAUAUAUAUAAAGAAAAAAAAAAGAGUUCCCGAUAUAUAGUGCGUAUUCAGUAACUGCUAAGUACUAUUAUCACUCCAAAGGUGACUAUGCUACUGGUUUUAACUUGUUGCGAGACAUGUUUUUAUAAUAUUUCCUUAGCCUCUUUGCUAAAAACUCCAUCUUGUCCUUCUUUGUCCCACCUUCCUCCUUGAAAUACAGUCACAGUGCUGGUAAAUGACUUAAGCUUAAGAACAAAGACCUAAGGGCAAGGGUUAUUGGUGGAGUCAGCUGAAUGAGGACCUAAUACAAUGGUCUUGGCACGCUGAACCUGUGCAGAUUGGCAAACCAUUUGCACAAGCAUGAUGUGUCCCUCUAAAGAAUAAGAGAAAGAGGAACCUCAUGACCAAGUGGUUUAUGAGUGAUAUGCAUUAGCAAAGAGGAACCAAGGUGCAAACCUAGGCACAAAGGGUUGCUACAAAUAGGCAUGCCCUUUGCGGAAGCACAGUGAGGAUUCUCUGAAAUGCUAUUCCUAGAUAGCUAAUUCAAAUGCUAAUGAUUCUUAAAUGCCUAUAGUUUAGAGUAAAAGUUUAACCAUUUACCAGCUAAGUGACUUUUAAAAUAAUAAAAAAACCCUAUAUCCUGCACCUACAACCCCCUUUUCUCUUGACAUAAUCCUCAAGAGCACAAUAAAAGCAGUGUGGUUUCUUGAGGCAGGGCUCUUGGUCCCUAAGACCUUGAGUCCCCCAGUUCCCACCUUUACUUAAGAUAAAUGUCUCUGUGUCUUGUUUUAUGUUAACUUUUUUUUUUUCCUUAAGCUCCAUAGCCCCCGUUCUUCAGCCCCAUCCUGCUGAGCUGGUCUCAGCAUUAACUCAUUAAAAUUUAUGGAAGAAUACUAUUGAGAUAAUACGCAAAAUAAGUUCUUAUAAAGAUGGUGUUUGUUCAUAAUUUAAUCAGUGUAUUAUUAAUACCUGACUUGUGUGAAAAUUUCAUAGACCUUUUAAGAUUAACAUCAAUAAACUCUAGUUCAUGGGUAAAUUUUAAUUUUACUUUUUAGCAUGUGAACUAGUAACAAGAAACUCAAGAACCAGAAUGUAAAUGUUUGGGGCUAAAGACAAACAUUAUGAUUUUUUUCCCUAAAGAGAGCUACUUAAUAUAUUUUUGAAUUAUACAAGGAAAAAGAAACACAGAUUCUCUACAUAAUGAGUGAAUUAUACUGUGAUAAUUUGGGCUGUACAGAACUUUUAGGAAACUUACUGAGCUGUGCCCUUUCAAAAGAACUCCACUGUUAUAUGUCUGGAGUUAACAAAACUUUCUGGAAUACUAGCUUAUAUCCAAAUAAGAAUGGAAAAUGUCCUCCUAUUACAUAAAGGCUAUAUCUAUAUCAUUUUCAUAAAAUAUAGCUAUGCAAAGAACACCUUUAAAAUAGAAUGCAUAUGUGAAUGACUACAUAAUUUUAUACGUGUGCCGGAAAUCAUAAGUCAGAUUCUUUCCUGAUGAAGCCAUUUCUCUAGUUGACAACUGUCAAAGCCAUCUCAAAAACCCAUGAAUAUUAAAGCACUGUUCAGUGGCACAUUUGGCAUUUUGAAGUCAGGCAAAUAGAACUCAUGAAAUAUGAAAGGAGUGCUCCAUGUAGCUUUGUGGAAAAUGCUGCCAUUAAGAUGAUGUAUGAGGAAAUUCACCCCUUCAGCUGCUGGGCGUGCUCAACUGUAUUUUCAAUCAAUGGUCUUACUUUGCUUUGAUAGUGUUACCUUUGGAUUACAUCCUCCUUUUUCCUGGUUUCACGAGCUCUCAAUGCAAAGAUUAAGUGAAAAAUGUGAAAUUAUGGGCAUACAUAAAAUAUGUUUUAAACACAAGUGCAUUGUGUUACUAUUUGUGUUAUAAUAAUUAAUAGAUUCUAAAGUCUUUCUAUUACUAGGUACUAGCAUUUGGUCUGGAUUAUUCCUGGGUACAGUGCCCACUGACAAUUUUUAUUCUCAUAUUAGUGGUUUAUAGAGUUCAAGAUUAUUAGAAACUUGUGAUAUGUUUCUUUCAUACUCUAGCCCCAGCAAACUUGUCCUCACUACAUUUUUACCUACUUAGUUACAUUAUAGACUUAUCUAUUAAGUCUAAAACUAUACCUUUCUCUUGACAUGAGCAUUUUAAGUUUUUGGAAUUACUUGGAAAAAGCAAUCCAUUUGACUAUACCUAGUCUACUACUGAAAUAUCAAAAUAAAAAAAGGUCUCAUAUUUUUUAGGAAAGGACAGACAUAAAUGUACCAUAAGCAUAUUAAAAAUCCUAAAAAAUAAUUUUUCAUUAAAAUGGAAAUUUUGGGAUUUGCCAUCAUGGCUCAGCAGUAAGAACCCAACUAGUAUCUAUGAGGUUGUGUGUACAAUCCCUGGCCUCUCUCAGAGGGUUCAGGAUCUGGUGUUGCUAUAAGCUGUGGUGUAGAUCGCAGACGCAGUUAGGAUCCUGUGUUGCUG